rnacentral:ncRNA from 1 species
AUCUUCAGGGCAGGGUGCAAUUCCCGACCGGCGGUAAAGUCCGCGAGCGCAAGCUGAACCGGUGUGAUUCCGGUACCGACAGUACAGUCUGGAUGGAAGAAGAU